UAGUCUGGCUCCCAGGAUCCUUGUGCAGAAAGAUGGAGGUCCCCUACUGCAUUGUCAAGGGAAAAUCACGUUUGGGAUCGAAUGUUCACAGGAAAACUGCUUCCGUCUUAUGCUUAACAACGGUUAGGAACGAGGAUAAGUUGGACUUCAGCAAAAUCCUCGAGGCCAUCAAGGCAAAGUUUAACACUCUCACGUGUCUC